GUGAGGAAUAUUGGACAAUGGGCGCAAGCCUGAUCCAGCCAUGCCGCGUGCAGGAAGACGCAUCUAUGGUGUGUAAACUGCUUUUGUACGGGAAGAAACACUCCCUCGUGAGGGAGCUUGACGGUACCGUAAGAAUAAGGAUCGGCUAACUCCGUGCCAGCAGCCGCGGUAAUACGGAGGAUCCAAGCGUUAUCCGGAAUCAUUGGGUUUAAAGGGUCCGUAGGCGGUUUAAUAAGUCAGUGGUGAAAGCCCAUCGCUCAACGAUGGAACGGCCAUUGAUACUGUUAGACUUGAAUUACAAGGAAGUAACUAGAAUAUGUAGUGUAGCGGUGAAAUGCUUAGAUAUUACAUGGAAUACCGAUUGCGAAGGCAGGUUACUACUUGUGGAUUGACGCUGAUGGACGAAAGCGUGGGGAGCGAACAGGAUUAGAAACCCUUGUAGUCC
rnacentral:rRNA from 1 species